ACUAAGUUUCUUGUAGAACUGGUUGUUUCACUUUCUUUGCUAUUUCAAAUAUUACUGACUCAUUCAUCUCAUUUGUCCAGGACAGUGCUCAGUGCUCAGUGUUUGUUCAGGCAUUUAUUCUGCUUAAAUUGUUCUUUUGUGAAAUAGCACACCUGUUAGUGCCUGCAUAGCUGCUAGCCAGCCUGCUGGAAGCAUCCCCCUCUGGGCUUGUUCAGGACUGUAAACUCGAGAUGGUUGGUUCCUUGACUCUACAGGCAGAGGAAGUCGGUCAGAAAUCAGCCGUGUUUUUCCUAAAAAUUUGAUUUUAGGAAUGUUCUUUUCAAAUUCAGGUGCAAUUCAAGAGUCCAUACCUGUGUUCACCUGAUUGAGGUGCUCUAAUACCAGUUCAAACUUUGAAGUUGUGCAUAGCCAAGACACACUUCCAUUUGGGUGCAGACCAUGAUGACGCAGUCACUCUAAAAACUUAUGUGAUAAAAUGUCUCACUGAUGUCUGAGCAGGCGAUAAGCCUCAAGGGGGGGUUGCGCUUCCUUCUAAGAUGUUCAUGUGGCUCCGUCUGCCCGUAGUCCUACACUGCUCUUCUUUUUCCCUCAAUACAUGUUGUCUGGCCUGUCUCGAGCUAUGAAGAAGCAUAUAACACAGAAAAGCACACUGUCACAAAAAGACGCUGCUGGCGCAUUGUAACUGAGAGUAUGGCAGAAGUUUUAAUCGACCAUUUGACCUUUUAAGGUUCAGUGACUUAACCCGCCACAAUAAAUAAACCACAAAGCUUCAGGCCCUUCGUGCUUGUUAAUACAAGUCAUGAUGUUGCAUGAAAGGUCAGUAUAUUAUGUAAUAUGUAUGUGUUCAAAUAUGCAAGUUUGUCUCUGCACUCAUGGUGCAGUCUCUGCAUAGACACUCUGUCUCUACUCUGUUUGUCCUCUUUGUCAACUUGACAUCCUCAAAAACAUUCAGAUUUUCCAUCUCCUGUUCAUCAUAUAAUGAAAACAACAAGACUCUCUCCUGCUUCUGAUCAGCAGAUUGGUUUUAUUUCCCCAUCUGACUUCUUGUUUUUAAUUUCAGCUCCCUGCUUUUGUUCUCUAAUUUGGUUUAUUGUCGCCUGUCUGUCUCCUGUGUGAACCUGUGGUGCGGCCAUAGAGAAAGUGGAUUUAACUUAGUGGCUUUGUGGACGUGUGUGCUGCUGCUGCUGAUCUUCUUUGAGGUCGAGGUCACCGUGUUUGUUGUCUCUUGAAGAAUUUGUGUUUAUGAUUGUGUUGUGAGCAGAUGUGAAACACGAACAGCACCCACAGCAUGUUCGCCAACGGUGCAUGGAAAAAAGAGAAGAGAGAAAAAAAACCUUGAGAAGGCUAUGGGCACUACGCAGUCUUGGAGUAACUGUCACUUCUGUCACUACUGAGAACUUGGCCAACAAACUGCCACUGACAGACUGAAGAGUCAUCUCGUUCUUCAGGCUUCCAAGAGAGGAAAAAUAAUUAUUUCCAUCCCCAAUUGAUGGCCGCAGGCACAAAGCAAAGCGUUCUAAUGACAGCAGGACAAUCAGCAAACAUCAACAUUGUGCUCUGCCUCCCAUCCCAUCUGUGUGUCAGCAUCAUGUGGUAUGUCGGCCCAGAGACCUUGUCUGUCAGGAGCAGGAUGCAGAGUCUCCAUAGGCUCUGAAGAUGGCUUGUUUCCAUGACAACCAUCUGUUAACUCACAUCGUUCAGCUUGCUCUCACUCUCCUCCUUUCUGGAAAAUCACAUCUGAUCUGAUGGAGACGUCGCUCUCGAAAAGAGUCCGCCGUGACAUGUAUGUGACGUUAUUGCUGUGAAGCUGAAUUCAGUUCACGUCAUCUUGCCUUGGUUUGUCUUACUGAAGGUAACAGCUAACUUAUUAGUGCCAGUCAAAAUGGUUUCAAGAAUGAAGCAGCAAGCGUACUGCUCAGCCAAUAUAGUUCUGUAAUAACAUACAUGUUUGUAGGCCAUACAGGCCAUACAAAUAGAGUUUAUGUUUUCCUCUUUCCAUUGUAACAGCAACCACAGAACCAUAAUAUAAGGAAAUAUUCUACUGUGCCACAUGAACUCAGCCAUUAGAAGGGGAAUACACAUGAGCUGGAUUCUUAAUUUAUUGAUCUUGUUUUUAAACUAUGGCAAUUUCUACAACUGAGCACAGCCAAGUCAACAGAAGAAGGCAGACCACACAUUUGGCCUGAAAAUGAAAACACAGAGAUAAGAAACUAAAACUGAAGCCAAGCCAAACGGCACUGGUGCUGAAUGGAUGGAGCAAUCAGAAAAACACUGACUGCCUGGGGUGUAAAGUGACUUUUCAUGACACAUCGUGACCAAUGUAACAUUACAAAUGCAGAAUUACCUCAGUCAAAACAAGUCAUCUCACAUGUCAGUAUCAGUUUACAGGCAUACACAAACAUUUUGCUUCUGCUUGAGCCUGUUCAGUUACUACUUAUUACACAGGCUAAUCACCUCGUUCAUACUGUCUGUACUGUUUAUAGUUUAUUUAUCAUGUGCUACUAAUACUACUUAUUAAUUCACUAUGUCAGUAGGCCAUUAACAUCACUGGGUUUACAGGUUCGCCUCCCUGGGGUUGAAUGCACCUAUGGCACAUUUGUGCUGCUUUUGAUGGAUAAAAGCAUCCAUCAGAUCCAGCAUUCAGGGUGAUGGAAAUGCUUUUGUAAGAGAGUGAGGAAGGCUUCCAGGAACACAGAUGGAGAAAACAUUAGACAACAUUAUCCGUUAACUGCCCAUCAAUACCAGGUUGAACCUGACGUCUCUGUGUGGUUCAAUACUGCAACAACAGGGAGAUGGCAGUUGUCUGCCUAUUCAGUAUUUUUAUGUUAACAAUGUGUAAAAAUUGUAAUCAUAAAAUGGCUCGGCUGUAGUGAUGAACACAGAUACACCAUAUGGACCAAAGUAUCGGGACAGCUGACAUUUACACCAACAGGAAUUUUAAUGACACCUCAUUUUAAAUGCACAGACAGCUUUGCAGCUCUAACAGCUUCCAGUCUCUAAAAUUAUGAAGUGUUUCUGUAGGAAUUUUUGUACUUUUUUGUGUUCUGUGGGAACCCCAUCCAACCCCAUUGGAUGGGGUUGAGGUCAGGACGCUGUGUGGGCCAGUCAAAUUCUUCCACA